rnacentral:rRNA from 1 species
GAUGAACGCUGGCGGCGUGCCUAAUACAUGCAAGUCGAGCGAACAGAUGAGGAGCUUGCUCCUCUGACGUUAGCGGCGGACGGGUGAGUAACACGUGGAUAACCUACCUAUAAGACUGGGAUAACUUCGGGAAACCGGAGCUAAUACCGGAUAAUAUAUUGAACCGCAUGGUUCAAUAGUGAAAGACGGUUUUGCUGUCACUUAUAGAUGGAUCCGCGCCGCAUUAGCUAGUUGGUAAGGUAACGGCUUACCAAGGCAACGAUGCGUGGCCGACCUGAGAGGGUGAUCGGCCACACUGGAACUGAGACACGGUCCAGACUCCUACGGGAGGCAGCAGUAGGGAAUCUUCCGCAAUGGGCGAAAGCUUGACGGAGCAACGCAGCGUGAGUGAUGAAGGUCUUCGGAUCGUAAAACUCUGUUAUUAGGGAAGAAUAAAUGUGUAAGUAACUAUGCACGUCUUGACGGUACCUAAUCAGAAAGCCACGGCUAACUACGUG